GGUCUUAUGGUCUAGUGGUAUGAUUCUCGCUUAGGGUACCUAAGUAAACGUGCGAGAGGCCCCGCGUUCGAGUCGCGGUAAGACCC